GUGGGGAAUAUUGCACAAUGGGCGAAAGCCUGAUGCAGCAACGCCGCGUGAGGGACGACGGCCUUCGGGUUGUAAACCUCUUUUAGUAGGGAAGAAGCGAAAGUGACGGUACCUGCAGAAAAAGCACCGGCUAACUACGUGCCAGCAGCCGCGGUAAUACGUAGGGUGCAAGCGUUAUCCGGAAUUAUUGGGCGUAAAGAGCUCGUAGGCGGUCUGUCGCGUCUGCUGUGAAAACUGGAGGCUCAACCUCCAGCUUGCAGUGGGUACGGGCAGACUAGAGUGCGGUAGGGGAGAUUGGAAUUCCUGGUGUAGCGGUGGAAUGCGCAGAUAUCAGGAGGAACACCGAUGGCGAAGGCAGAUCUCUGGGCCGUAACUGACGCUGAGGAGCGAAAGCGUGGGGAGCGAACAGGAUUAGAAACCCGGGUAGUCC
rnacentral:rRNA from 1 species